UAGAGUUUGAUCCUGGCUCAGAUUGAACGCUGGCGGCAUGCCUUACACAUGCAAGUCGAACGGCAGCGCGGGAGCAAUCCUGGCGGCGAGUGGCGAACGGGUGAGUAAUACAUCGGAACGUGCCCAAUCGUGGGGGAUAACGCAGCGAAAGCUGUGCUAAUACCGCAUACGAUCUACGGAUGAAAGCAGGGGAUCGCAAGACCUUGCGCGAAUGGAGCGGCCGAUGGCAGAUUAGGUAGUUGGUGAGGUAAAGGCUCACCAAGCCUUCGAUCUGUAGCUGGUCUGAGAGGACGACCAGCCACACUGGGACUGAGACACGGCCCAGACUCCUACGGGAGGCAGCAGUGAGGAAUUUUGGACAAUGGGCGCAAGCCUGAUCCAGCAAUGCCGCGUGAGUGAAGAAGGCCUUCGGGUUGUAAAGCUCUUUUGUCAGGGAAGAAACGGCCGAGGCUAAUACCUUUGGCUAAUGACGGUACCUGAAGAAUAAGCACCGGCUAACUACGUGCCAGCAGCCGCGGUAAUACGUAGGGUGCAAGCGUUAAUCGGAAUUACUGGGCGUAAAGCGUGCGCAGGCGGUUUUGUAAGUCUGAUGUGAAAUCCCCGGGCUUAACCUGGGAAUUGCAUUGGAGACUGCAAGGCUGGAGUCUGGCAGAGGGGGGUAGAAUUCCACGUGUAGCAGUGAAAUGCGUAGAGAUGUGGAGAAUA
rnacentral:rRNA from 1 species